rnacentral:misc_RNA from 1 species
AACGGUCUAUACCUGCGGUACCUGCGGAAGGAUCAUUACCGAGUUAUCAACUCCCAAACCCCUGUGAACAUACCCGAACGUUGCCUCGGCGGGACCGCCCCGGCGCCCCUAGCGGCCCGGAACCAGGCGCCCGCCGGGGGACCCAAACUCUUGCUUUAAACAGUGGCAUACUCUCUGAGUCUCACAAACAAAAAAUAAAUCAAAACUUUUAACAACGGAUCUCUAGAUCGGAAGAGCACA